AUUUCAACAAUUGAAAAAGGUUUUACAUAGCUGUAAAUGAAAAGGGAAUCGUGUGUAAAUCACGAACUGUCGCGCAACUGUAAGUAACAAAAAGGUUUUUAUCCAGGGAUGUCCACUGCUCAUUUGGCGGGAAGGAUGAUAGAAACUGUUACAAGUCAGGAUACCUGCCUGUUUCGAAUUGACGAU
rnacentral:ncRNA from 2 species